rnacentral:rRNA from 1 species
UACGUAGGGGGCAAGCGUUGUCCGGAAUCAUUGGGCGUAAAGCGCGUGUAGGCGGCUCGAUAAGUCCGUUCUGAAAGUCCAGGGCUCAACCCUGGGAUGCGGAUGGAUACUGUCGAGCUCGAGUCCGGAAGAGGCGAGUGGAAUUCCUGGUGUAGCGGUGAAAUGCGCAGAUAUCAGGAGGAACACCGAUGGCGAAGGCAGCUCGCUGGGACGUGACUGACGCUGAGACGCGAAAGCGUGGGGAG